AGAGAGAGACAUGCGCGCAUAUCAAUAAGCGGAGGAAAAGAAACUAACUAGGAUUCCCCUCAGUAACGGCGAGUGAAGCGGGAAGAGCUCAAAUUUGAAAUCUUCAAGGUUCUACCUUGACGAAUUGUAGUUUAAAGAAGUGUUUUCUGUUGAGGUUUUGGUAAAAGUUCUUUGGAAUAGGACAUCAUAGAGGGUGAGAAUCCCGUAUUUGACCAUUACUUUCCAACUUUGUGAUACACUUUCAAAGAGUCGGAUUGUUUGGGAAUGCAGUCCAAAAUGGGUGGUAAAUUUCAUCUAAAGCUAAAUAUUGGCGAGAGACCGAUAGCGAACAAGUACCGUGAGGGAAAGAUGAAAAGAACUUUGAAAAGAGAGUUAAACAGUACGUGAAAUUGUCAAAAGGGAAGCGUUUGACACCAGUGUUGUUUUCUCGAAAAUCAAUUAGAAAAGGCAGGAUUUUGUGUUGUAUUGACUUUAUCAGCUUUCUGCACUCUUUUCUUGUCUUUUCUAAUGCACUUUUCGUUUAACAAGUCAACAUCAAUUUCUUUUGUUGUAAAAGGGUCAUUGGAAGGUGGCUUUCUUUUCGGAGAAAGUGUUUAUAGCCUUUGGCCUCUGCAAUCGGAGAGAUUGAGGUCUGCAGCGUAGAUCCUUCGGGGUUAGAUACAUUUGUGCUAAGUUAUAGCCUUUCAUAGACAACUUGUUGACUAUGAUCAGUCAUGUAGCUUACUCGCUUAUGCUAUUUUACCUACGCUUAGGAUGUUGAUGUGAUACUGCGAGCA
rnacentral:rRNA from 1 species